GGGGGGGGGGCGGCCUUGCAGCGACCCGCAGCGCGACGAGCGAUGGCAUCUAGAAGUCCCUGAGUACCAGCCUACUAGAAUUAUUUUGAACAGCACCAUCUGGCGCCUUGGCAGACCCUCAAACAGCUGGCUUUGCCUCUGGCUCUGUUAAUUUGUGACAGGGCAACAGGAAUGAAAUAGCCUUAUAAAUAUGCUUUGACUUGUUGGAAGUAUUAUUGACCAGAUGUAUGAAAAACCAACCAACCAACCACCUGUCAAAUGGUCAUUCCACUGGUUAUGAAGACUAUGCAACAAUGACUUCAUUGUAUUCUUGUACCUUAU